rnacentral:misc_RNA from 1 species
AACCAUUCUCACCUGCGGCUAGACCUGCGGAAGGAUCAUUACAGAGUUGCAAAACUCCCUAAACCAUUGUGAACGUUACCUAAACCGUUGCUUCGGCGGGCGGCCCGGGUCCUUCCCGGCGCCCAUCGGCCCUCGCGGGCGCCCGCCGGAGGUAAACCAAACUAUUGCAUUGUAUGGCCUCUCUGAGUCUUCUGUACUGAAUAAGUCAAAACUUUCAGCAAUGGAUCUCAGAUCGGAAGA